GUCACAGUGGCCGAGUGGUUAAGGCGAUGCCCUGCUAUUCUUUGAAAGUAGUUAAGGCAUUGGGUUCUACCUGCGCAGGUUCGAAUCCUGUCUGUGACG
rfam:Pichia pastoris GS115 chromosome 3, complete sequence